UACGGGGGGGGGCAAGCGUUGUUCGGAAUUACUGGGCGUAAAGGGCUCGUAGGCGGCCCAACUAAGUCGGAUGUGAAAUCCCCAGGCUCAACCUGGGAACUGCAUCCGAUACUGGAUGGCUUGAAUUCGGGAGAGGGAUGCAGAAUUCCAGGUGUAGCGGUGAAAUGCGUAGAUAUCAGGAGGAACACCGGUGGCGAAGGCGGUUCUCUGGGCAUGUUCUGACGCUGAGGAGCGAAAGUGUGGGGAGCGAACAGG
rnacentral:rRNA from 1 species